AGAGUUUGAUCAUGGCUCAGGAUGAACGCUAGGAAAGGCUUAACACAUGCAAGUCGAGGGGCAGCAUAAUUUUAGCUUGCUAAGAUUGAUGGCGACCGGCGGAUGGGUGAGUAACGCGUAUGCAACCUACCGAUAAAUAAGGGAUAACCCGGCGAAAGUCGGACUAAUACCGUAUAGUCUUAUAAUUUCGCAUGAGAAUGUAAGUAAAGAUUUAUCGUUUAUCGAUGGGCAUGCGUUCCAUUAGUUAGUUGGUGAGGUAACGGCUCACCAAGACGACGAUGGAUAGGGGAACUGAGAGGUUGGCCCCCCACACUGGUACUGAGACACGGACCAGACUCCUACGGGAGGCAGCAGUGAGGAAUAUUGGUCAAUGGGCGAGAGCCUGAACCAGCCAAGUCGCGUGAAGGAAGACGGUCCUAUGGAUUGUAAACUUCUUUUGCAGGGGAAUAAAGUUAUCCACGCGRUGGAUAUUUGUAUGUACCCUGAGAAAAAGCAUCGGCUAACUCCGUGCCAGCAGCCGCGGUAAUACGGAGGAUGCGAGCGUUAUCCGGAAUUAUUGGGUUUAAAGGGUGCGUAGGUUGCGAUAUAAGUCAGCGGUGAAAAUUUGGGGCUUAACCCUGAACUUGCCGUUGAAACUGUAUUGCUUGAGUGUAAACGGGGUAUGCGGAAUGCGUGGUGUAGCGGUGAAAUGCAUAGAUAUCACGCAGAAACUCCGAUAGCGAAGGCAGCAUACCGGACUACAACUGACACUGAAGCACG
rnacentral:rRNA from 1 species